rnacentral:ncRNA from 1 species
GACGAUUGCAUUAUUCGUCUUCAACGAGGAAUUCCUAGUAAAUGCAAGUCAUCAGCUUGCGUUGAUUACGUCCCUGCCCUUUGUACACACCGCCCGUCGCUCCUACCGAUUGAGUGAUCCGGUGAGCUGUCCGGACUGCGAUUAGUUCAGUUUCUGUUCUCUUCGCGGGAAGUUCUGCAAACCUUAUCACUUAGAGGAAGGAGAAGUCGUAACAAGGUUUCCGUAGGUGAACCUGCGGAAGGAUCAUUC